CGCGACCCGCGACCUGCGACCCAUGACCCGCUACCGACCAAUCUGCCCGGCACUCGCGUGCACCAUGUCUGGUUCCUCCAGUGUCACCACUAUAAAGAAAGUGGUUCAACAGCUCCAGCUGGAGGCCGGGCUCAACCGCGUGAAGGUUUCCCAGGCAGCUGCAGAUUGGAAACAAUUCUGUCUGCAGAAUGUUCAACAUGACCCCUUGUUGACUGGAGUAUCUUCAAGUACCAAUCCCUUCAGACCCCAGGAAGUUUGUUCCUUUUUGUAGUAAAAUGAAUUUUGAAGGUGUUCUCAACCACUUUUCUUGAACCAGCAAAUAUUCAAAGAGAGCUAAGUCUGAAGACUGUACAAAAAGCUUACCCUAUAACAUGUGCCAUACUCUACAAACUUCUGCUUUUGUCAGUCCUUAACAUCUACCUCUCUGAAUUUUCACGAAUUUCUAUUUCACAAGAAUGAUUAUUUUAUAUA